AAAGUCGUAACAAGGUCUCCGUUGGUGAACCAGCGGAGGGAUCAUUACUGAGUUAUCUAAACUCCAACCCUAUGUGAACUUACCGCCGUUGCCUCGGCGGGCCGCGUUCGCCCUGUAGUUUACUACCUGGCGGCGCGCUACAGGCCCGCCGGUGGACUGCUAAACUCUGUUAUAUAUACGUAUCUCUGAAUGCUUCAACUUAAUAAGUUAAAACUUUCAACAACGGAUCUCUUGGUUCUGGCAUCGAUGAAGAACGCAGCGAAAUGCGAUAAGUAAUGUGAAUUGCAGAAUUCAGUGAAUCAUCGAAUCUUUGAACGCACAUUGCGCCCAUUAGUAUUCUAGUGGGCAUGCCUGUUCGAGCGUCAUUUCAACCCUUAAGCCCCUGUUGCUUAGCGUUGGGAAUCUAGGUCUCCAGGGCCUAGUUCCCCAAAGUCAUCGGCGGAGUCGGAGCGUACUCUCAGCGUAGUAAUACCAUUCUCGCUUUUGCAGUAGCCCCGGCGCCUUGCCGUAAAACCCCUAUAUCUUUAGUGGUUGACCUCGAAUCAGGUAGGAAUACCCGCUGAACUUAAGCAUAUCAAUAAGCGGAGGAAAAGAAACCAACAGGGAUUGCCCUAGUAACGGCGAGUGAAGCGGCAACAGCUCAAAUUUGAAAUCUGGCCCUAGCGGUCCGAGUUGUAAUUUGUAGAGGAUGCUUUUGGUGAGGUGCCUUCCGAGUUCCCUGGAACGGGACGCCGGAGAGGGUGAGAGCCCCGUACGGUUGGACGCCAAACCUCUGUAUAGCUCCUUCGACGAGUCGAGUAGUUUGGGAAUGCUGCUCUAAAUGGGAGGUAAAUUUCUUCUAAAGCUAAAUACCGGCCAGAGACCGAUAGCGCACAAGUAGAGUGAUCGAAAGA
rnacentral:rRNA from 1 species